GGAAGUGUAGCACAGUGGGUAAGGAACUGGGCUUGUAACCGAAAGGUCGCAGGUUCGAUUCAGGACACUGCCG
rnacentral:tRNA from 1 species